AUGUGAUUAUGAUAACUAACUGAUAGGCUAAAAAAGUGGGAUUUGGGAUUCUUUUAUGGAUGGAACCUUAAUGCCUUAGCCAAUAUAAAUACUAAGGUCCCUGCAAACCCUAGAUACACAACAAACGCUUCCCAUAAAGUAGUUGUAUCCGGCUAGGUGCUUUGUAGAAGACUUUGGUGUUGCCGCAUCCUACAUCAUCUCUGCUUGGUAUUCAAUGGCUAUUGCUUCACGAUCAGGUUAAAUGUGUCUUAUUCAUGUAGUCAAGGCUGGUGCAUUACAGUCCUACAGCAACACGCGGGUAGUAGCGGAGCCAGCAUGGGGUCAUUGGUUGUCAUUGACCCCAAUAACUUUAAAAACUCUAUGUAUAUUUGCUUGUAUAUUGUAUUUGACCCCAACAAACAACUAAGGCAAACUAAAUUACGACCUCCUCGUCCCACUUC